GAUUACACAAGUAGGAGAAUAAGGAAUCAAUAACAAAAAUAGCUGAGAAGUCUCAUAUGUUGGCAACUUGAGAAAAUCUGAAUACUUGAGGAAGAAAUUAUAAGGGAAAUUUCAGGAUAGAACAAAUAGCACAGCUGUGACACAGGUAGUGCAGUUCUUAGAAGGAGAUUUAUAGCUUUAAAUACAUUUUCCUCAGAAAAUAAGGAAUAAUAAAAACACAUUCAAUCAGCCUAUACUCAUGUUUUCAUUCAAGUCAUGGGUGACAAUGUUGAAGGGGACUGAACCAAGACCAAGGGUCAUAAGACUUCAAAGACCUCCCUCUGUUAAAUCAAUUUAUUAAUUGAUAAUCCUGGAGCAGGUAUUCCAUCAUGACACAGAAACAUUAAAACUCAGGCAAUAGGGGUACCUAGGUGGCUCAGGAGUUGAGCAUCUGCCUUUGGCCCACGUUGUGAUCCUGGGCUUCUGGGAUGGAGUCUCACAUCGGGCUCCCUAUAGGGAGCCUGCCUCUCCCUCCGCCUAUGUCUCUGUCUCUCUCUCUUAUGAACAAAUAAAUAAAAUCUUAAAAAAAAACAACUCAAGCAAUAAUUCUUCUUAUGACAUAGUAAGGCAUCAUUGGUAUCAUUCUGUCAAGUGACCCUUAAAUACAGAUUUGUGCUAUCUAUAGCAUUCUCUUUUAUGUUCCAGGCAAUUUUCAAAAUAAAGGAGAAGGAGGAGCAAGAAAAGGAGAGGAAGAAAGAGCACUAUGAUCGCGGGGUUACACAGAUGGCCGGAAAAAUCUCAGCACUUCGUGGUUCCUGGAACAUGAAGCUGGCAGGAUUUAAUAGUAAGAAUAAAAUUUUGUAAUGGAGGUGAAUGGACCACACUGAUUAUUUCUGCAAGAAUAUAUUCUGCCUAAUGUUGUGGUUUACCCUAUUGUGGAAGACUCGGCUGACUUCUGCUGAUCUCAGAAAUUAGUAGGUAUAUUCACACUCGUUUUCUUGAAAUUUGUGUGUCAUUGCACACAUUUUUCCAGAUUUUAUAAACUCUGAUAAACCAUAUCAUUUGCUCAGGAAUAAAUAUA
rnacentral:lncRNA from 12 species